AGGCUGCAUGAGGAGGCCAUAAUGAUGAAAUGAUCAAGUUGGAUAAUUUCUGAGAAUGAGAGUCCUACUCUCUGUUUGCUGUAGUCAUUUAAUAAGUCUGGGAAUACUGGAUAAAUAAAGGUUUUUAAUGCGCAUGACUGUGAUCCAUGAGAGCAAAGAACUUGAACCUGCAUCCACGCUGCUCCUCCACUUCACAUCUCAGAGGGUGGAGACAAAAAACAGACCGGCAUCGUGUCAGAAAGGGGAGGGGCUUGGUGGCAGUAUAUGUUUUUUGAGCAGGCAUGUUUUAAGUUCAUAUUGCAUCUGACAGCGAGGAUUGGCGAGCGCGAGGGACAACGCGGGGUAGAGAGAGGGAGAGAGAGAGAGAGAGAGAGAGAGAGAGAGAGAGGAGGAGGUGGUGGUGGUGGUGGUGGAGGAGGAGGGAGAGAGAGGCGAGAUCUACCUCCGCGCGAAAUAAUGGGGAUGAUAAUAAAACAGGGGGGAAAACCCGUCCGAGGAAAGCUGAAUGGAUGGAGCCAGAGACACGUCACGGGCAGCCGCAGCCAUGAAGACUGAGCUCCAGCCUCCAGCAGCUCACUUCGUCUCCAUCAGCCGAGCCGCGCGCUUCUCCGGGAGGAGAGAGGACCCUGCAGAGACCCGCAGACGACAUGCGAUCUAAGACACCGAGCGGCCUGCCAGCACGCGCCAAUCUGCAGGUCCAGACUGGGUCCAUGUCACGGCGCCUGCAGCGGGGGAGGAUGGGGGGCCUUCGGGGUUGGUUGUUAUCUUUGGUUAUCUAGCUGUAUGAGUGAUGUUCAUUCUUCAUAAAGCUAGAUAACCGAAAGUAACAAGAAUCCCAUUACACUCCUGAAAAGGCAUCAAGACCCCAAAAGCACCUCGCCGCGUCUGGAGGAGUGAGCUGGAGAGGCGAAGCAGCAGCGCUACAUCACAGACGGAAAGACUGAAAAACAGAGGAGGGGGGAGGAGGGGUCUGCCCUCCUUCUCUCCUCGCCCUCCUCUGCAUCGCCUCCUCCUCCUCCUCCUCCUCCUCCUCCGCUCCAUCCUCAGACGCAGCCCGCGCCACCAUCUUAGAGCAACACGGGCAAGAAAAGGAAAGACCCCGUCAGAGCAGGCGACGCUGCACCAUGAGCCCCGACCGCCUCUCUGUUGGAGGAGGCCAGACUCCUGCUGCCCCCCCGGACCCUCUCAGCUCACUUCUUCUCUCUUCAGUGCUGACGUGGAUCAUAACUGGGACUUUAGGAAACAGCUGUGGUGGACCAACUCUUAAAAAAAAAAAACGCUCAGUUUUGUAAAUAUUAUUUUCAUGUGUUAAGAUUUAAAGCUUUGGUUCUCAGCGGCUGGCUUGGGGCCCAAAACGGGUCCGUGUGGUGACAGCAUGAAGCCGUCUGAACAGAUCACUUCCUGUGACGACCCCUCUCAGGUUGAAUGGAUUUAUCAGAUCUUGGAGUCGGGACAUGAAAGGGGUCCAGGACCUGACGGGUCCUGAUGGGUCCUGAUGGGUCCUGAUGCUCCACCAGGUGAACAUACAUCUGGCCAACUGUUGCUGUGAGAGACGAUGCUGAA